GACGAACGCUGGCGGCGCGCCUAACACAUGCAAGUCGAACGGAGUUUUGGCCAACACCGUGUAUUCUGAGAGGAGUACAGGGUGUUGGACAAAGCUUAGUGGCGGACGGGUGAGUAACGCGUGAGCAACCUGCCCUUCGGAGGGGGAUAACGUCCGGAAACGGACGCUAAUACCGCAUAACAUAUAUUGAUGGCAUCAUUGAUAUAUCAAAGGAGAAAUCCGCCGAAGGAUGGGCUCGCGUCCGAUUAGGUAGUUGGUGAGGUAACGGCUCACCAAGCCCGCGAUCGGUAGCCGGACUGAGAGGUUGGCCGGCCACAUUGGGACUGAGACACGGCCCAGACUCCUACGGGAGGCAGCAGUGGGGGAUAUUGCACAAUGGAGGAAACUCUGAUGCAGCGACGCCGCGUGAGGGAAGAAGGUCUUCGGAUUGUAAACCUCUGUCUUCAGGGAAGAACAAAUGACGGUACCUGAGGAGGAAGCCACGGCUAACUACGUG
rnacentral:rRNA from 1 species